GACCUCAAUAGAAUAAUUUGAUCACAGUUCUGAUCCAUAAACCAACUCCAGAUUCAUUUGCUUCAACCUUUCCUCUUUCUAUCUCCACAACUUGGUUGCAGGAAAUAAGAGAGCAUUGGAGAUUGUUGGUGAGAUCCAAGAAACAUGGGGUUCGUAGUGACAAGUCUAAUUUUCAUUGCAAUUGGGGUUGUUGCAUCUCUGUUUACUAGAAUCUGCUGCAGUAGAGGACCAUCCACAUGCUCUUUUUGUGUCUUAAUGUCAAUUUCAUUUCAGAUUUUCUAUUGAUUGUACCUAACAUUGAUCAUCACGGCGACCGUAUGUUGUUGGAUGAUAUUUUGGGAUCGGCCCUAGAUGAUUGUGAGGUUAGCAGCUGGACUUGCUUGUCGGAGACCCAAGGUAGAUCUGCUGGCGUCCGCAGACCCUGGAGUCCCUUCCUAGUUUCUUUAUUAUACUACUUCCUUUCUUUCAGAACAAUUGUAUUUUCUUUUAGACUUUGUUUGUAGUAAAUCUUAGAAGCUCGUGAAUCGUGACACCAAAUCCGAAUUGGAUUAGUUAUUAUGAGAUUUAUGUUAUUCCGCAGACUCA